rnacentral:rRNA from 1 species
AUGUAUCAUAUGUUCUUGUUUUUUCAUAUGUUCUUCUUUUCAUAUUUGCUUCCAUUUGUUCUUGUUGUCCUUACUAACCAUUAUGUUCCACUCAUUGUAGGUAUGGCGGCUUCCCAACCCAACAAACCAACGAUGAAGGAGGAUGGCGAAGAUGAGAUGGCCGGAUGGUGGGAGAAGGCGGCGAAGAAGCUUAGAGAGGAGGAUGCAGCCAAGCUAAAGAAGAAGGAAGAGGAGCUUGAGAAGGAGAGGAAGCGAAAACAGAGUGCGGCAAAUGCGAUGCGCGCUAGGGAGCAAGCGUUGAUGAGGCUAGUUGAGGAGGCACAGAAGAAGCGUCAACAAGAUUUUGAAGAAAGAACCAUGAAGCUUUGGGCAAUUGCAGCUGAAAAAGAAGAGAGGGACAAGCAGAUAUUCAUGGAGAGGGUGGUUAAGGAGGCUCACGUCAUAAGAAAAAGGGAGGAGGAAGAGGAAGAAGAGAGGAAGAAGAAGAAGGGAAAGGGGCCUUCCUCUACGCAAUAG